rnacentral:rRNA from 1 species
GACGAACGCUGGCGGCGUGCUUAACACAUGCAAGUCGAACGGAAAGGCCCUGCUUUUGUGGGGUGCUCGAGUGGCGAACGGGUGAGUAACACGUGAGUAACCUGCCCUUGACUUUGGGAUAACUUCAGGAAACUGGGGCUAAUACCGGAUAGGAGCUCCUGCUGCAUGGUGGGGGUUGGAAAGUUUCGGCGGUUGGGGAUGGACUCGCGGCUUAUCAGCUUGUUGGUGGGGUAGUGGCUUACCAAGGCUUUGACGGGUAGCCGGCCUGAGAGGGUGACCGGCCACAUUGGGACUGAGAUACGGCCCAGACUCCUACGGGAGGCAGCAGUGGGGAAUAUUGCACAAUGGGCGGAAGCCUGAUGCAGCAACGCCGCGUGCGUGAUGACGGCCUUCGGGUUGUAAACCGCUUUCGCCUGUGUCGAAGCGUGAGUGACGGUAAUGGGUAAAGAAGCACCGGCUAACUACGUG